GUCCUCACGCCAGCGCCCCCCCCCUCACUGCCGGUCGCCAUCUUUGGUCGCCAUGGGGACGAGCAUGGAGCUGGAGCUGGAGCUGGAUCAUGGCGGCUGCUGCCCGCUAGGCCGCGGCACAAAUACAAUCCCUCGACAUCCGCCGACACGUAGGUGAAAGUCCAUCCAAGAUUCCAAACAAGCACAAAUUGUCUCCUUGAACCUCAAGCCAAUCAAUAAGGCGAAAGAGUUGGAACAACAGAACAGACUCGCACGUGGGAAGAAACCAGAGCACCUAGAGGAAACUCAACCUGUCAUAAGGAGAACGUGCAAGCUCCACACAGACGGCACCCAAAGUCGGGAUUGAACCUGGGUCUCUUGCGCAAUGAGGCAGCACCUCUACCACCUGCUCCACUGUGACGCCCUGUAUUUGGCUUUGUUGACCAACCUCAAACUUUGGAAGGGAAAUCCAGCAAAAUGCAGCUUAGUCGAGUAGGUGAAAGUCCAUCCAAGAUUCCAAACAAGAACAAAUUGUCUCCUUGAACCUCAAGCCAAUCAAUAAGGCGAAAGAGUUGAAACAACAGAACAGACUCGCACGUGGGAAGAAACCAGAGCACCUAGAGGAAACUCACCCUGUCAUAAGGAGAACGUGCAAGCUCCACACAGACAGCACCCAAAGUCGGGAUUGAACCUGGGUCUUUUGCGCAAUGAGGCAGCACCUCUACCACCUGCUCCACUGUGACGCCCUGUAUUUGGCUUUGGUAACCAGUCUCAAACUUUGGAAGGGGUAUCCAGCAAAAUGCAGCUUAGUCUAGUAGGUGAAAGUCCGUCCAAGACUCCAAACAAGCACAAAUUGUCUCCUUGAACCUCAAGCCAAUCAAUAAGGCGAAAGAGUUGAAACAACAGAACAGUGGGUGAAAAUCCAUCUUGGUCUCCAAACAGCACAAAUUAUCACCUUGAAAUGGGCCAAUCGAUGAGUGGAAUGAGUUACAUCAACGUACCAUGUUCAUGUUGAGAAAGGGUUGCUAAAAUAAGGAUCACACAACUCACUAAAAUUAUGAGUGCCAAGGAAAAGGGUUAUCAUAAUACAGAGGGAAGUGGAUGAAAAUCGCAUUGUCAACCUCAUUGCCUCAGUGCAGUGUAACAAAGGAGAAGGAUGAUCUGAUGAUCUGCUCAGGCAAAACCGAUGCACAGCACAAGGACUGGAAGGGGUGUUCCCUUUAAAGAAAUGAGCAGAACAGCAGUUGGACAUCUGCCGGCUCUGCAAUAUCUGGUGUGCAAGUAAACAUUGCGUUGAGAGGUUCACAGUAAUCCUUUCAUACAGUGCUGAGAGAGACAGCGGGCAAUGGACACCUAGCAAUCUGAUCUCACUAACUGGUUAGCGUGCAACAAUAACUUUUAACUGUACUCUGUACAUGUCACAAUAAACUAAACAUCAGUAGUCCUGAGAUGUUAAUUUGAUUUGGUAUGCAUUGAAUUUGAUGCUCUGUUCUGAAGUUGUUAUUCAUAGUGUAUACUUAAUCAGUUACUUGAAGUAUUUUAAAAUGGUACAUUUAUUUGCAAAAGUGACUUCAACAUUUUCAAAACGAGUUCAUUUGUAAACUGAAUGAUAACUGCUUAUAAUAAAAUUAUGGUUACUUUGUG